rnacentral:lncRNA from 1 species
CGAGGCUCCGGCCUGACCUCUCCACGGGGUCGACAGGAACGUCUCCGGAUGCCACGAGUCGCACAGAGCUGUCGAGGAUGACGAAACCACAGGCGGAGUCUGGGGGAAGCGGCGCGGCAUCCCAGGCUCAGGCCUGCCCGGACGUGUUAGGGUGAGUCUCCGCAAAAGUCGUGCCCGCCGUGAUCUCGAGGACAGGUCUGCCUGUGUGCUCGUGGGCCGCCCUCUCACCUGAGGGUCGUUCUUGCGGAGAGCAGAACCCCGCAGCCUCAGGGGUUGCCUGGCAUUUCUGUUUCUAUGCCACUGCUCUGUCUCUGUCUCUUUCUCUCUCUCUCUCUCUCACUCUAUCUCUGUGUGUGUGUGCGUAUGUGUAUGUGUGUCUGUCUGUGUCCCAUUCUCUUUUCUCUGUCUCUCACUUCCUGUUUCUCUCUCUCCCUCUGUCUGUAUGUGUGUGUGCCCAUGAGCGUGUGUGUGUUGGGACGUAUAUGCCCCCUGCGCCAAAAAGGGAUUUCUUGUAUGUCCGCCUGUCGUUGGCGAGCCUUUUUCUGCGUCUGCCUGGGUCACGUGGCUGGUUGUCUCGUUUUCGCGGCGGUUGCACUUCGGGUUUUUGAAGGCCUCCACCACCUCAGGAGAUGCGUCGGUCCCAGAGCAACUGAAGUCUCAUCCCCAUCCUGAGUGGUCUAUUCUCUAGAAUCAAGAUGACCACACUCCAGGCAUUUCAAAUUGUGGCUUGGACUCACGCACAGGCCCCCUCCUGGUUCCCAGGUGUUCUAUGAUUUUCGUUGGCAUCGAUGGAAAGGUCACCUGUGCCCCCCUUCCUCCGGAACAUGCCUGGACACCAUUGUUUGUUUCGCCAUCGCCCCGUAUGCCCUCUGUGACACACAUUCACAGCAUCUGCUCUUGAAUACACCAGUGCCACGUGUGGUCACACUGGCUCUACUUUGGAUUUGCCCCUUUCCCUGUUUGCACGUGUCCUGCACUUUUACCAGAAGGUGGUAAAAGUAAGAGAAGAAUAAAAUUUUGGACAUGUAAAAUUCAUGUCUUCUAUAGAGUAACUGGGUAAAGAUAUCCAUCAGACUGUUAUAUAUGC